AAUCUUGUAGUUUAAGUAAAGAACUUUAAUUUGCAAAAUUAAAAGUGAUUAUUCUAAGAUUU
rnacentral:tRNA from 1 species